rnacentral:lncRNA from 1 species
UGUUAUUUUCUAGAUGUGUAGAUUUGUAUUCAUCCCAUCUUGCAAGUUAUCUCGUCAUUGUUUUUGACGGUCAGAUCUGCUCAGAACUGGCACCGACAGCCCUGCCUACCCGCUCUGGUCCUGUGGUGGGGACCUGGGCCUGGAGCCUUCUCCCGGUCAGGCACAGCAAGACGUCUCUAACGGACGACCUAUGCGCCCCCGAUUGUCACGUGCGUGGGCCCUUUCACGGGGCCCCUAGGAAGUGUGUUUCCCGAGAGUCUCCACUGACACGUCUGAGUCAGAAUCCGAGUUCACUUGUUUGACUCUGUAUCUCCCAGUGCAGGCAGAGGAUGGUGACGUAAACAAGCGUGCAGUCAGUGACAGCCAAAAGCAAUGUGAUGUUUGGUUGCUGGGUGAACAUUUGGUUAUUGUCCCUGGGAUGAUGUUGAUCUGAAGCCAGGGUUUACCCCCAUGCGGAAUCGGCCGCCUGUCCUGUGUUGUCUGCGGCGGCUGUCAGCCCUGGAGUCACUAAUGGUUCUUCUUUUUCAUAAUUCGUCAUCAACCUUUCCUGGCUCCUCUUCUGUCCCUUGUCCUGGCUGCCACCCAGCCCAGACUUCCCGCUCUGCUCCCUGCUGCUCCCCCGCGCACAGCCGCCACGCCAGGGGCCAGGGUCCCUCUCCCCAGCCCUCUGCACAGCACACACCUCAGAACUGUGCCCUGCAGGUGUCCGACUUCCGGGAGCAGCUGCUGGCCUGCGCCGGGGUGGAAGCAGAGCGCGUGGUGGAGUUUUCCUGCGGUCACGUGAUCCCGCCAGACAACAUCCUGCCCCUGGUCCUCUGUGGCGGGCCCACCGAGCAGCAGCUGGAGUUCACCUACCAGAAGAGAGAGCUGCCUGCUAUGGUGGGUGCAGCUGGGGGCUCCGGCAGUGCGGGCAUUGGGGAAGUUGGCACUGAGGCACCCGUGCAGCUGGCACUGGAUGAAUGGCAUCUCCAGGUGCUCCUCGGGGAAGGCGUGGGCUGCCCGCCCUUUAGCCACUACGUGCUCUCCCUCAGCCCUCCAGGUGUCCCUUUAGGACCCAGUGAGUGAGGAGGCUGCCCGUUCUUAGCCCCAGGCAGGGUGCAGGUCUGGGACGCGUCUCCAGCCACCUACUACGUGGGAACAGUGCCUCCCUUGUCGUGGAUGCUGUCAGGACGCAGGAGCUGGGGCACUCGGGGGCCCGGCUUCUCUUUUCGGUGCUGGUGUUGGGACUUGUGUCUGGAGGACAGGCUGGCACACCCGCCUUCCGAUUCCUCUCGGGGCCGGGUGGCCGCUGUCCUCCCGGGCCCAGGCAUGUCCUGGGUAGAGCUCUGCCUCGGCUUGGAGCCCGGGGCGUGUG